AUGGCUUAUGCAGCAUCUGUUCAGAUUAUGGGAAAAAGAAAUUUAGUGACCCAACUGUGUUGCUUUCUGACCAAUUAUGUUCAGCAAUCACAUACUGUAUGUGAUUCAACCAUAUCGAUGACGGCGCGGUGCGCAACCGCCUUCGGAGCCCAUGAUUCAGACCGUGUGUGCUGCCCGACUUUUGCAUCAAAAAGGUUCAGCAACACAUCUGGUUCAAGAGUAUCAUCAGUUUCGUAUAAUUUUCUUGAAAAAAUUCUGUUGCCAUUUCCGCAAUCUUCUUCUUUUCCUGAACCCAAUCCCCUCUGCAUCUUUUAG
rnacentral:rRNA from 1 species